AGUAGUAUGACUAACACAAAGUGAAUUAUUCUUUCACCUUUUACGAAAGAAAACCGUGUGUUUGUUACUUUUAAACAGCAUAACCUUAUUUUUGAAAGAGACUCCCGAUUAGAAGGGCU
rfam:Glycine soja cultivar W05 scaffold2787_28, whole genome shotgun sequence.